ACUCGCCUAGGAAGUGGUAGGAUUGAGAUUUGAAUCUGGAAGCCUUACAUGAGGGUUUUUCACUCGACCAACUAUACUACACCUUUGAAAGUCCCUUUUCCCCCAAAGACUUCCAGAAAGAAAGCUUUGUAUCCUCUUUUAGGGUACGUUUUUGUCUCCAAAAUUUCCCUUAUACCAAUGAAUUAAAAAAAAAUGACUUGACUUCAGGUUCCAGGUGCUUGGAUUUAUUCUUCUUAAAAUAUCUCUGAGUAGUGGGAUACAAAUUUUCCCACCCUUCCUCUCAUGAAGCUGUGUAGACAGGCCACAAAGGAAAAGAGCAACUGACUCUCUCAUUGCUACAUGACUUGACCAUGUCACCAACACCUGUGUCAAAAUGAAGUUUCACCAGAUGCAGUCAGGCCUCUGCAGUGUCUCCAGGAAGACCUGCUGAUGACUCAUACUCCAAUCCACUCAUCAGACCACCGUGCUGCUGGCCUUCUGUGGUCUGGCAAGAGCCAGAACACUUGGAGAAAAACGCAAAUGUGUCUUUAGUACCUACAUAAAGUUUUAUAGAUAUAUGCAAAUAAGACUCAAAGCUGUAGACAAGAAGAGAAAGUUGUUCCAAACCUCAUCAGCUAUGACAAGGAUAACAUCCCUGCCUCUGGGAGCCUGGCAGCACCUUUUCCAUGCUGGCGAGAUUGUGCUCUGGCCUGUGCAGAAGAGGAGGCUACUGGAUAGCAUGAGACUCUGUGGUGAUAGGAGAGAGCACAGGGUGAGUCCAUUUUCACCCAUUUGGGUAACAAAACAAAGAAUCCAAGACACACCUAAGUUGUGCUUUACAGACUUGAACUCAGAGCAGGAUGAGCUUGGAAAUGCCCAGGGUUCCAUGAUAUUGAGCAACGAAUUUUCCAAAAUAUGUAAGAAAAGAAAAAAUGAGGUCUGAUGGGUCCACAAGCACAUCUUUCUGGAGAGUGAACCAGGUGCUAGGUUACACAUCUCUGGGCUGAUUCAAACAACCUGUAGAACAGUUUCACAUGCACCCUCUUCUCCAUUUUUUUCGGCUCUUUCAACCAAACCAUGAGUCAUUUUCCAAUGUGGCAGUCUAUUCCUCUAUGGUUAAGUUAGUUUAGGCAAUUUGUAAACCCAAGUAUGAAGCUUCUGUUGGUCUAGCUUGAGUAGGAACAUUAAUGGAGUGCUAAACCUUUAGACAACUCUUUUGUGAAGGCUGGACAAUAGAUGACUUAACAUUGCCUUUUCAGUGGGGACAUGGAAGGCCAGUGGUGUGAUGAGAUAGUUGAAGACAGAUACAUUGUUCUGGACCAGAGAUCUCAACCACAGCAUUGGGAUCUGCCAAAACCAAUUUAACAGGUGAGAAGCUGUUACUCUUCUCCCACUACCUCACAGAGUCAGGCUCUAAGCGUAAAUGCAGACAACUCUUCUCAUAGGAAUUUAUUCCCAGCAUAUCAAUAAUGAGAUUAUUAUUUAAGAGAGGCUUUAACAUCUUAAGGGCAAAAGAGGACAGUCUGUUACCGGAAAGAAAAUAUUGUUAUCAUAUGAUCAUUCGUGCAUGUCCAGAGGAUGAUACCCAACAGCUUUGUUUUCCAUUUUUCCAUCAAUGCAGAAUCCCUCUCAGAAGCCCUCUCCUCUGGUCUCCCCUCACAGUCUCUGUGCUCUGCUUACCUUUUCUCAGAACCCUGGCUCUCAAUCUGUUGUGCCAUUUAGUUUCACUACCUGUAAAAGUUCUGUAAAAUCUAUAGGGUCCUGUUUGUUUUGGAACUAGCUUUAGGUUCUUCAAAACUCAAACACGUUAAACCUUUGUUUUACUAAUAGUGCCCACUUUUUAUCAUGUAACCGUGAUGGCCUAUGCAGUCCUAUGCAAAUCAAGAUACCUAAUUUUUAAAAAAGGUUUUUGUGUAAGAGAGUGGUGGAGCAGAAAAGAAGGGAGUGACAAUAGUGGAGAAACCCCCAAAACUUGUCUUGUGGUAUUUAAAACUAGGCCAUUACAAUGACUGAAUUCUUACCAUGUUUUUGUUUUCGGAUUUUCAACCAACAGUCUUCUUUCAUUCAUGAUAUCAGCAAAUUAACAAAGCACAGCUAAUGUAAAUAACUCUCACUUUCCAUUUUAAAACAAAGAGGUCAUUCUCUGAUAGCAGAUGCAAAGAUUGUUUUUCUACAUCAGUUUUUGUUUUGUUUUCCAGUCUGCUUUGUCUUUCAGAGGUAGAACCGCCAAAUCUCUGAAACUUAAAUCAACCCAAAGACAAAAGUAUGUUUUGUUUUCUUUCAUUUGUUUUAGUGUGGAUACAUAGUACUUUAAAAGAAACAUCAUAUACAACUCAAUUAAUAUGAAUUCAUAAAGCUGACAUUAAAAAUAGGCCAAUAAUCAUUCUUAAGUGAAACCAUCUUUAUUUUGAAAAUUACCAAACAUUUUCUACUUUUUAGGUUAUUAUUAAUAUACAAAUCUGCCUUUUUUCAGAGUAAUUGAUGAAGGUUAAGACUAAAACAAAUGAACGAAGAAAGAAAAAAAAGAGGCAGGUGAAAAAAGGAUGCAAAUACACGGCCCAUAUAGGCGCACAUUGUUGCAAACAUAUUUAAAUUUGGCUCUUAGCCCCCUGGCAGCAGAAGCAAAAGAGGGGAGACAUGGUCAGUUGCAUAGUUCUCAUUAUUAGAUGAGAAGAAACAUGCUAGUUCCUCAGGGGAAGUGAAUGUAUUUUUUUUGUACUAAUUUCUCAAGGAAAUCAGGCUGGUGGGGCCUCAUAUGGGAAAUGCUGAGUGAUGUCAUACACACUGAACUUAACUGGAGUCCUACAAGCAAGGCUAGAGUCUCAUUCUUAGAAACCAAGAGCACAAUCUUAAAAUGCACUCCAGUUUAGGCAAUUUGUAAACCCAAGUUUGAAGCUUCUAUCAGUCUAGCUUGAGUAGAAGCAUUAACGGAAUGCUUAACUUUUAGACAACUCUUCUGUGAUGGCUCGACAAUAGACAGCUUAAUAUUGCCUUGCAGUAGGGACAAGGAAGCCCAGUGGUGUGAUGAGGUAGUUGAAGGCAGGUAUGUUGUUCUGAACCAGAUAUCUCAACCACAGCAUAGAAUUCUGACAAAACCAAUUUAACAGGUCAGAAGCUGUUACUCUCCUCCCACCGCCCCACACAGUUAGGCUCUGAGCAUGAAUGCAGACAACUUUUCUCACAGGUAGUUAUUCCCAGCAUAUCAACAAAGAAUUGAGUAUUCACCUU